rnacentral:rRNA from 1 species
AGUGAACGCUGGCGGCGUGCCUAAUACAUGCAAGUCGAACGGAGAUUCAGUAGCUUGCUAUUUAAUCUUAGUGGCGCACGGGUGAGUAAUAUAUAGCUAACUUGCCCAUUACUAAGGGACAACAGUUGGAAACGACUGCUAAUACCUUAUACUCCGUAUCUAUAUAAGUAGAUACAGGAAAGUUUUUCGGUAAUGGAUAGGGCUAUAUCGUAUCAGCUAGUUGGUAAGGUAAUGGCUUACCAAGGCUAUGACGCGUAACUGGUCUGAGAGGAUGAUCAGUCAAACUGGAACUGAGGCACGGUCCAGACUCCUACGGGAAGCAGCAGUAGGGAAUAUUGCUCAAUGGGGGAAACCCUGAAGCAGCAACGCCGCGUGGAGGAUGACACUUUUCGGAGCGUAAACUCCUUUUCUUGGGAAAGAAUUAUGACGGUACCCAAGGAAUAAGCACCGGCUAACUCCGUG